rnacentral:rRNA from 1 species
UACGGGGGGGCGAAGCGUUGUUCGGAAUCACUGGGCGUAAAGCGCACGUAGGCGGAUCUUUAAGUCAGGGGUGAAAUCCCGAGGCUCAACCUCGGAACUGCCUUUGAUACUGGGGAUCUCGAGUCCGGGAGAGGUGAGUGGAACUGCGAGUGUAGAGGUGAAAUUCGUAGAUAUUCGCAAGAACACCAGUGGCGAAGGCGGCUCACUGGCCCGGUUCUGACGCUGAGGCGCGAAAGCGUGGGGAGCAAACAGG